GCUGGCGACCAUAGCAAGAGUGAACCACCUGAUCCCUUCCCGAACUCAGAAGUGAAACCUCUUAGCGCUGAUGGUAGUGUGGGAUUACCCAU
rnacentral:rRNA from 1 species